AAAAAAUAAUUUGGGUAAAAAAAAACCAUCUGAACUUGAAGCUGCACAAGAUAGUCAUGAAGUGGAAUAAGUGGUCCUUCAUGCUUGGUUCAUGACUUUGAAGCUUGAACUUGAUUGAGGGAUGAAAAUGUUAAAGUCAUUCAUCAAUUGACACAGUUGAUAUCACCUGUUCCUUUUUUCUCUUCACUAUUUGUAUCCUUAUCCAU
rnacentral:lncRNA from 1 species